UACAGAGGGGGCAAGCGUUGUUCGGAAUUACUGGGCGUAAAGGGCGCGUAGGCGGCCUUCUAAGUCGAACGCGAAAUCCCCGGGCUCAACCCGGGAACUGCGUCCGAUACUGGGAGGCUUGAAUCCGGGAGAGGGAUGUGGAAUUCCAGGUGUAGCGGUGAAAUGCGUAGAUAUCUGGAGGAACACCGGUGGCGAAGGCGGCAUCCUGGACCGGUAUUGACGCUGAGGCGCGAAAGCUAGGGGAGCAAACGGG
rnacentral:rRNA from 1 species